rnacentral:rRNA from 1 species
GACGAACGCUGGCGGCGUGCUUAACACAUGCAAGUCGAACGGAAAGGCCCUGCUUUUGUGGGGUGCUCGAGUGGCGAACGGGUGAGUAACACGUGAGUAACCUGCCCUUGACUUUGGGAUAACUUCAGGAAACUGGGGCUAAUACCGGAUAGGAGCUCCUGCUGCAUGGUGGGGGUUGGAAAGUUUCGGCGGUUGGGGAUGGACUCGCGGCUUAUCAGCUUGUUGGUGGGGUAGUGGCUUACCAAGGCUUUGACGGGUAGCCGGCCUGAGAGGGUGACCGGCCACAUUGGGACUGAGAUACGGCCCAGACUCCUACGGGGGGCAGCAGUGGGGAAUAUUGCACAAUGGGCGGAAGCCUGAUGCAGCAACGCCGCGUGCGGGAUGACGGCCUUCGGGUUGUAAGCCGCUUUCGCCUGUGACGAAGCGUGAGUGACGGUAAUGGGUAAAGAAGCACCGGCUAACUACGUG